ACCUCCUUUUCCUCCUUAUAACGAGAUGGUGGAAGACUGGUCUGAUUACGAAAAACGCCUUCGACAACACUUUUGGCAUUUCAUGCUGCGGACGAACAAACAUGUAAGUCUCUGUUCCUUUCAUGGAUUUCACCUAAAAUGUAUCGGUUGUUGUCGCAAUUGGCUCCUUUGAAAGAUCCUGCGUCUUGGUCCGUUGUUGAAAUGUGCUCACUUCUGUCUGUCUAUUUUCAAAAGCAAACACAUGUGGUAGCCUCUUGUGCUGCCUUUUAUUGUUGUCAAAAACAACCGAAUCAAUCCUAUCACGCUUGGGCUGCUGAACUUAAUGGCCUCAGUAGAAAAUGUCAAUUUGUUACUGACAUCUCACAAAGAAUCCUAUGCUAAUUCCAUGGUACGGGAUGCUAUUAUCCGAUCGGCGCCCGACAAAGAAGUUAGGCAACGUGCCCUUCAGUUGGCAAAUCCGACUCUAGAUGAAGUCUUAUCCAUCGCUCAGUCUUUUGAAAUUUCUCGCGCCACUGGAGCGCAAAUAGAAGCAUGGGGCGACAUCGGGGAAAUACAACCUCUGUGCGAUGUUGACAAAGCGUAUGGCGUGUCCCCGCAGGCCGACAUGGGCGCAGUAUGCUCCCAAGCAUAGCCUCAGCCUAACCGUAAACAAACCUCUAAGAAACUGCAGCAAAACCCACGGCAACUUCCUUCAUGUCCGCGGUGUUUUAUGAAACAUUCACGAGAAGUUUGUCCACAACAUUGGGCCGUGUGUCACAAAUUAAAAAAAAAGGGUCAUGUGUCAUUCAUUUGCAAGUCCGACCGCAUACAUGAUGUUCAUGAACAUGACGCUGAUUCUGAUUCCGUGUUGUCUGUCAAUUGUACUUCUUCCUUUUCAGGGAAGUUAUUCCUCACUGUCCAAAUAUUUGGUGAAGAUGUUCGCAUGCAGGUGGAUACUGCUUCUGCUGCCACUAUCAUCAAUUCUCAGACGUAUCUUCAGUUCGGUUCUCCAAUCCUGUCACCUGUUAAUAGGGAAUGGGACAGUUUGAUGCUGAGGUAUCUUACAAAUCUGUCGUUCGCACUGUUCCCAUAUUUGUGGUCGACCAUAGUAACACGGAGAAUCUUUUUGGUUCCAAUGCCUUUCGCGUUUUUGUGUUCUCCAUAGAUGACUGUCAGUAUCGUCUCUGAUGCUAUUCCUUAUGCUCAAUUGGAUUCCUUGUCGACAACAUUUUCAUCCCUUUUUUCUCCUGGGUUAGGCCUUGCAAAUGACUUUGAAGCUCAUAUCACGCUCAAACCCACUGAUCGGUCUAAGUUUUUUUGGGCUUGGCCCAUUCCUGUGGCCCUUUGUGAUCAGGUCAAACGGGAGCUGGAUCAUCUCACUGCUUUAGGGGUCUUGCUUCCUGUCACUUCCAGUGAGUGGUCCUCUCCUGUUGUCGUUGCUAAGCCAAAUGGUGAUUUUCGUCUCUGUGGCAAUUUCAAAGCCACUGUAAAUGCUCAAUGCCUUACCGACACUUACCCUAUGCCUCGACCUGAAGAAUUGUUCACUAAACUUGCUGGAGGCCAGUAUUUUUCUAAACUUGACCUGUCAGAAGCAUAUCAUCAACUGCCUCUCGACACUGCUUCUCGGCAGUUUCUGGUCCUUAACAUGCCUUUCGGCCUCUAUCAAUACCAACGAUUGCCAUUCGGGGCUGCCAGUGCCCCUGCUCUCUUUCAGCGACUCUUGGAACAAUUAUUGCCCUCUGUCCCUGUGUGUAUAAAUUACCAGGACGACAUUAUUGUCACUGGCUCCACCACCGACGAACAUCUUCAAAUUCUCCGCACACUUUUUCAUGUCUUUCAGAUUCCCGGUCUUAAGUGUGAGCUUUAGAAAUCAGAGUUUUUUCAGGCCUCUAUAACGUACUUGGGGUUUCAACUCUCGGAAUGGUGUUCGUCUGCUUCAGCAAACUGUCGCUGGGAUCAAUGCCCUUCCUUGCCCUACAUCUGUUAAGGAACUGCAGGCCUUCUUGGGAAAAAUAGCAUACUAUCACAAGUUUUUACCAUCUGCUGCUUCGGUGGCUAAGCCGUCGCAUUGCCUGUUGCAUAAAAACGUGCCUUUUCACUGGCCCGCGUCAUGCGAUGCGGCUUUCCAGAAAUUGAAGACCAUGCUGAAACAGGCCCCGUGCCUAGCUACUUAUCGACCUAGCCAAUGUCUUGUUCUUGCCACAGACCCCUCUCAAUACAGGGUCGGUGCAGUCCUUGCACACCGUUUUUCUGACGGUUCUGAACAACCCAUUGCUUAUGCCUCCAAAACGCUCACAGAUGCCCAACAAAAGUAUUCUCAGAUUGAAAAAGAAGCUUUGGCCAUUCUUUAUGCUCUUCAUAACUUUGGUGUUUUUCUCUAUGGAUCCAAAUUUCAUCUUGUUCUUUCCUUGUUUAAUCCAUCAACGUCACUUCCCGACAAGGCUGCACACCGCUUCCAGCGUUGGGCUCUUUACUUGUCUCGUUUCAAUUAUGAAAUUCAUUUCCGACCAACGGCUCAACAUACAAAUGCUGAUGCACUGUCUCGCCUUCCCAUGGGUCCUGGUCUGGCAUUCGAUAGGGACGAACUUUUGUGUUUCCACCUGGAUGUUGCCGAGCAGCGGGUUGUGGAUGGGUUCCCCAUCACCGGGGACUGGCUGGCGGCUGCUACAGGUUCUGACUCUACCCUCUCCCGGGUUUUACACUGUAUUCAGAAGGGUUGGCCAGAUCGUCCGUACUCUAAGACUUCUGAUCCAUUGCGGAACUACUACGCUUUGCGUUACUGCCUCCCGGCUAGGGAUGGUGUUCUCCUCCUUUCCACCAAAAAUGCUUCGCUGCGUGUUGUGGUACCUGCGUCUUUGCAUGCUUUGGUCUUGCACCUCAUUCACCAAGGGCACUGGGGUGACCCUCACACAAAAUCUCUGGCGCGCCGUCAUGUGUACUGGUCUGGCAUCAACUCUGAAAUUGCGCACAUGGUCGCUGCUUGCAUGCGGCCCUUGUGCGUCACAGGCCGCCGUCCCGAAGUCAUCUUUGCUACAUGGCCUUCGCCUGAGUAGCCCUGGGAGCAUAUUGAUGCUGACUUCGCAGGACCUUUUUUAGGUGCUUAUUGGCUUCUCAUUAUUGACGCCUACUCUAACUUUCCUUUCAUUGUCCGUUGCACGUCGCCUACCACUGUGACAACCACCAAUGCUCUAGGAAGGCCUUCCCUCUAGUCUUGUUAUUGAUAAUGGUUCACAAUUUGCCUCUUCCGAUUUUGCGGAUUUUUGUGCCCGUCACGCGUCAUGCAUGUCACGGCCUCUCCGUUCCAUCCACAGUCAAACGGUGAGCCUGAACGACUGGUCCGCACAUUUAAGGCUCAGAUGAGGAAACUCCUGGCUACUUCUGCUGCUGAUGAUGCGCUUCUCCAAUUUCUGGCUUACCAUUUCACCCCCAUGGGCGACCACAGCCCGGCUGAGCUCUUACACGGUCAACAACCCCGCACGCUACUUCAUCUUCUGUGGCCUUCCACCUCACGGCCGCGGGUGCCUUCACUUGGCCGGUUCACAGCCGAUGACCUUGUAUGGGUACGGGGAUAUGGCAGGCGGCCAAAAUGGAGUCCUGGCCGCAUCUUACGACACCGUGGCCAACGCCUUUAUGAAAUCCAGAUGGAGUUGGGUGUUGCAGUGCAUCAUUCAGGCCAGCUCCGGCCUCGUGUGCCAGCGACGCCUGUUCUGGAUGCCACACCACCACCUUCGGCUCUACCUGACGCUCGGGAUACUGGGAUCUCUCAUUACUCACAACGCAGUCCUCUCACCAUCAUAUUGGUGCCAGCACAAGAACUGACACCACCAGGAGACGUGCCCAUGCAGGAACCAGAUGACCAUCAUCUGUCAGAGCAACUCUACUCGCCUCCUUCUCCUACGGACGCAGACACAUCACCCACGUCUCCUGUUAUAACAACCGGACGUGCCACAACAGGCAGAUUGGUGCACGGGGCCCCAGCAGAUUCGACCCGCACGUCUCCUGUCAUCUCGACCUGUUAUCAUUGGGGACACUUCCGUUCGUACGGGAAGCCUCUUUCUCGAGACUUUACGGCCAGUCAACAACACCUGUGGACAUUAGCAAGCUACAGGCCACCUCCAUCAAGACCUGUGCAAAAACUUCAAAGGGGGGAAUAGUGUUGUGACUCGCCGAUCUUUCAAAGUGCCGCCACACAGUUACGUGCGUCCUCUACAUGUCGCUAGACUCGGACCCAGUUAUGAUGUGACUCUUAAAGUCUUACUCUGUUUACUUGAUCUGUGACUUCAUGUAUUGCGUGUUCCUUGAAAUAUAUUUGUUCAACUUGAAGUUAUAACAGUGACUGUGUUUGUAGUUUCUGCUAUUGUUAUGAGGAGUAUUCAAUAAGUAAUGCAACAUAUUUUUUCCCUGAAAGCAGGUUGGUUUUAUUCAGGAUUCCAAUACUCCAUGUUAUUUUCUAUUCUUUUGGCUACAAAACCCUAUUUUUCGAGGCCACAUGGUAAUACUCUACUGGUCGAUGUUGGAGGCAACAUCUUGCUGCAUCAGUAACCUGCCCAUAAUACAUGUACUGCUUCCCAUGGAGUGUAUCCUUCAUUGGGCCAAGCCAAUGGAAGUCAGAAGACGAGGAGUCCACUCGGUUGAUGAGUGUGUCUGCACUCCAACAGAGACGUUCCACUGAAUAACGACACAUUUGUGAUCUGCCUCAGUCACCUCCGACGAGAGUGUUCAUAUGUUCCAGCAUUGCAGGAGUCACAGCUGUUUUUGGCCAGCCAGCACAUGUCUCAGUAGACAUUCUGCAAGCACCUACGAAAAUCUGUGAUACUCAGGUUUUCCACCUAAGGAAACUCAAUGGCACUCUCGGUGUGGAAUACAUCUCUAUUACAGACACCAGUUUGAAUGCUACUUUUAUGGCCAUCAAUUAUAAUCGUGAAACUACAUGAUCUGAAGCGGACAUAUUCCAAGAUGUACCCUAACAAAUUCCUCAUUUUUUCAACUGAAAUUGACCAAGGAAA